AAGCUCGUAGUUGAAUUUCGGGGUUUACCCAUUGGUCAGGCUUAAUUGUCUGUGCUGGUGAGAUAAAUCUCUACCUUCUGAGGAACUUUCAUGCCAUUUGUUUGGUGUGAUUGGAAACCAGGACUAUUACUUUGAAAAAAUUAGAGUGUUUAAAGCAGGCUAACGUCUGAAUAUAUUAGCAUGGAAUAAUGAAAUAGGACGGCUUGGUUCUAUUUCGUUGGUUUCUAGGAUCACCGUAAUGAUUAAUAGGGAUAGUUGGG
rnacentral:rRNA from 1 species